rnacentral:rRNA from 1 species
GACAGAGGAUGCAAGCGUUAUCCGGAAUUAUUGGGCGUAAAGAGCUUGUAGGCGGUUUGUCGCGUCUGCUGUGAAAUUUCGGGGCUCAACCCCGAACUUGCAGUGGGUACGGGCAGACUAGAGUGUGGUAGGGGAGACUGGAAUUCCUGGUGUAGCGGUGAAAUGCGCAGAUAUCAGGAGGAACACCGAUGGCGAAGGCAGGUCUCUGGGCCACUACUGACGCUGAGAAGCGAAAGCAUGGGGAGCGAACAGG